CUAUAAUGCAGUCGAGCGGACAGAUGGGAGCUUGCUCCCUGAUGUUAGCGGCGGACGGGUGAGUAACACGUGGGUAACCUGCCUGUAAGACUGGGAUAACUCCGGGAAACCGGGGCUAAUACCGGAUGGUUGUUUGAACCGCAUGGUUCAAACAUAAAAGGUGGCUUCGGCUACCACUUACAGAUGGACCCGCGGCGCAUUAGCUAGUUGGUGAGGUAACGGCUCACCAAGGCAACGAUGCGUAGCCGACCUGAGAGGGUGAUCGGCCACACUGGGACUGAGACACGGCCCAGACUCCUACGGGAGGCAGCAGUAGGGAAUCUUCCGCAAUGGACGAAAGUCUGACGGAGCAACGCCGGUGAGUGAUGAAGGUUUUCGGAUCGUAAAGCUCUGUUGUUAGGGAAGAACAAGUACCGUUCGAAUAGGGCGGUACCUUGACGGUACCUAACCAGAAAGCCACGGCUAACUACGUGCCAUAAGCGGCGGUAAUAAAA
rnacentral:rRNA from 2 species